UACAGAGGGUGCGAGCGUUGUCCGGAAUUACUGGGCGUAAAGCGUGCGCAGGCGGUUUCUUAAGUCAGAUGUGAAAGCCCCGGGCUUAACCUGGGAACUGCGUUUGAAACUGGGAGACUUGAGUGUGGCAGAGGGGGGUGGAAUUCCACGUGUAGCAGUGAAAUGCGUAGAUAUGUGGAGGAACACCGAUGGCGAAGGCAGCCCCCUGGGUUAACACUGACGCUCAUGCACGAAAGCGUGGGGAGCAAACAGG
rnacentral:rRNA from 1 species